rnacentral:rRNA from 1 species
UACGGAAGGUCCGGGCGUUAGCCGGAUUUAUUGGGUUUAAAGGGAGCGCAGGCGGGAGGUUAAGCGUGACGUGAAAUGUAGCCGCUCAACGGCUGAACUGCGUCGCGGACUGGCUUUCUUGAGUGAGCACGACGUCAGCGGAAUUCGUGGUGUAGCGGUGAAGUGCUUAGAUAUCACGAAGAACUCCGAUUGCGAAGGCAGCUGACGAGUCCUUUACUGACGCUAAAGCUCGAAGGUGCGGGUAUCGAAC